GUCAGUGUGUAUGUAUGUAUGUAUGCAUGUGUAUGUAUGUGUCUGUAUUUAUGUUUUUGUAUGUAUGUGUGUGUCAGUAUGUAAGUGUGCGUGUGUAUCAGUAUGUAUGUGUGUCUAAGUCAGUAUGUAUGUCGGUGUCAGUAUGUGUGUGUAUGUCAGCAGGUAUGUGUGUGGAUUUGGGUGUCAGUAAGUAUGUGUGUAUAUGUAUGUCAGUAUCUCUGUUUGUUAUUUUUUUUUAUUAUCUUUAAUACAGCGCCAACAAAUUCCAUAG